AACUGCCAUGCGCACACUACCGGAAGUUUACAGUGUAAAACAAGUGCACGUGGGAAAGCAGUAUAUUUUUGUGAAAUGGAGUCAGACGAGGCUAGCAGGAUACCUACUAAGACAGAUGUGAAAUCGAAAGUAAAGAAACACAAGAAGAAGAGGAAGAAGAAUCAGGAGAAUAACAACCAGAAUGAAAAAACAAAGACAUUUGUGCCAGAUUUAGAUUAAUUUAAUAGAUAGCAAAA